rnacentral:rRNA from 1 species
AGGGUUCGAUCAUGGCUCAGGAUGAACGCUGGCGGUAUGCCUAACACAUGCAAGUCGUACGAGAGUUUUUAACUCUAGUGGCGGACGGGUGAGUAACACGUGAGAAUUUGCCUUUAGGAGGGGGAUAACAAUUGGAAACGACUGCUAAUACCCCAUAUGCUUUCGAGUGAAAUGGAUUUAUAUAUAUAUCCGCCUAAAGAGAAGCUCGCGGCUGAUUAGCUUGUUGGUAAGGUAAGAGCUUACCAAGGCGACGAUCAGUAUCUGGUUUGAGAGGACGAUCAGACACACUGGAACUGAGACACGGUCCAGACUCCUACGGGAGGCAGCAGUGGGGAAUUUUCCGCAAUGGGCGAAAGCCUGACGGAGCAAUACCGCGUGAGGGAAGACUGCCUAUGGGUUGUAAACCUCUUUUUUCAGGGAGGAAUAAAAUGACGUGUACCUGAAGAAUAAGCAUCGGCUAACUCCGUGCCAGCAGCCGCGGUAAGACGGAGGAUGCAAGUGUUAUCCGGAAUCACUGGGCGUAAAGCGUCUGUAGGUGGUUUAAUAAGUCAACUGUUAAAUCUUGAGGCUCAACCUCAAAAUCGCAGUCGAAACUAUUAGACUAGAGUAUAGUAGAGGUAAAGGGAAUUUCCAGUGGAGCGGUGAAAUGCGUAGAUAUUGGAAAGAACACCGAUGGCGAAAGCACUUUACUGGGCUAUUACUAACACUCAGAGACGAAAGCUAGGGUAGCAAAUGGGAUUAGAUACCCCAGUAGUCCUAGCCGUAAACUAUGGAUACUAGAUGUUGAACAGAUCGACCUGUGCAGUAUCAAAGCUAACGCGUUAAGUAUCCCGCCUGGGAAGUAUGCUCGCAAGAGUGAAACUCAAAUGAAUUGACGG